AUUUUCCUUCUCUCUCUUUCCUUUGCUUAUGCUGCUCUUGGGUUCUUCAGCAGCAGCAACAAAGGAGGAGGCUUCUUAGCCUAAGAUUGACAGAGAUCUUUUGGGAAGGCUAUCGUACCGCUAGUAACAGAGUGAGAGCCCUUUGUGGUAUUUGCAAAUUACUGUAGAGGAGAGCUGUCUUGGUGACUUUGUGGGCUUUCUCUUCGUUCUCCAAUUUGCAGACUUGGGAUUUCACUGUGCUGAAGGUGGGUUAGGAUGAAACUCGCCAUUUUCUAUUUUUGAUACUCAAGAACACUCGCAAGGUCUUCUCUGAGUACCACAAUGUGCCCAUGAACACUCGCAAGGUGUUCAUAGCACUCAGUACAGUGGGUUUCUUGCGGAAACCCAUCCGUAAUUCACAACAGAGAGGUCCUUGCGAGAGCUCUCUUUGUGUAAGCAGCACCAUUAUCAUCAUUUUGAAAAGAUUUGUUUACAUCUUCCAUUGCCAAGGCUUCUGUACAGUUUCUUUUACACUUUCUCUUUUGCCUGCAAGUUAGCUGUACAUAGGAGAAUGCUGAAAUGAAUUAGUUUAAUACCUUCUCAAA